rnacentral:lncRNA from 1 species
GGGGUAUAGAUAUGAUACUUGAUAUGUCAGUACAUAAAAUGUCCAUAAUAACAUUCAGUUGUUCAUUAUUUAUAAUUCUCUGAUACACCAUACUCACCAGGGUUGUGAUUAUUGACGACUAAUUUUGCAUUUUAUGCAUUCCAUAUCAUUGUGACAAUUCAUCGAUCUUUAUGGUAAAUAUCUUUUUAAAAUUAUGUUAUGCUCUGUUCGGAAUAUGAUAUGAUAACGAUG